GGGGUCGUACUGGUUUCGACGGGGGCAGUGAGGCCGGAAUAGCGGGUCGUGGCGCCUGACCACGAUAAAACGGGUACUUUUUUAAAUUUAACUGACAACAAUUCUGUUGCCCUGGCUGCCUAAAUAGGCGCCCAUCCUUCCCGGAAGGUCCACGAGCCGGGUCAGGGUGUGAUUUGAGUGGAGCCCGUGCGUAUGCAAAGCUUUGCGCAUACCAUGCAUUAUGAAGCUACCAAAUCCGGGAGGGUGUUUGUUCCCGCCCGGAUGAGGGAAUGUAAAUAACAAACUGCACCCGGAGAAGUUCCCUCCAAGUUGUUCUCGGACAGGGGUUCGAUUCCCCUCGACUCCACCA
rnacentral:tmRNA from 1 species